rnacentral:rRNA from 1 species
UUGGAGGGCAAGUCUGGUGCCAGCAGCCGCGGUAAUUCCAGCUCCAAUAGCGUAUAUUAAAGUUGUUGCAGUUAAAAAGCUCGUAGUUGAAUUUCGGGGUCAGUAGGUCGGUCGUGCCACUGGUAUGAACUGGUUUUACUGAUUCCUCCCUCUUGAAGAACUGUAAUGCCAUUAAUUUGGUGUUGCAGGGAAUCAGGACUGUUACUUUGAAAAAAUUAGAGUGUUUAAAGCAGGCCUUAGCUUGAAUACAUUAGCAUGGAAUGAUGAAAUAGGACGUUUGAUCCUAUUUUGUUGGUUUCUAGGAUUGACGUAAUGAUUAAUAGGGAUAGUUGGGGGCAUUAGUAUUCAAUUGUCAGAGGUGAAAUUCUUGGAUUUAUUGAAGACUAACUACUGCGAAAGCAUUUGCCAAGGAUGUUUUCAUUAAUCAAGAACGAAAGUUAGGGGAUCGAAGACGAUCAGAUACCGUCGUAGUCUUAACCAUAAACUAUGCCGACUAGGGAUCGGAUGAUGUUAAUUUUUUAAUGACUCAUUCGGCGCCUUACGGGAAAC